GUCAGUCUUUGUCCAGGGGGCCGCCUUCGCCACCGGUAUUCCUCCAGAUCUCUACGCAUUUCACCGCUACACCUGGAAUUCUACCCCCCUCUACAAGACUCUAGCCUGCCAGUUUCGAAUGCAGUUCCCAGGUUGAGCCCGGGGAUUUCACAUCCGACUUGACAGACCGCCUGCGUGCGCUUUACGCCCAGUAAUUCCGAUUAACGCUUGCACCCUCCGUAUUACCGCGGCUGCUGGCACGGAGUUAGCCGGUGCUUCUUCUGCGGGUAACGUCAAUUGCUGUGGUUAUUAACCACAACACCUUCCUCCCCGCUGAAAGUACUUUACAACCCGAAGGCCUUCUUCAUACACGCGGCAUGGCUGCAUCAGGCUUGCGCCCAUUGUGCAAUAUUCCCCACUGCUGCCUCCCGUAGGAGUCUGGACCGUGUCUCAGUUCCAGUGUGGCUGGUCAUCCUCUCAGACCAGCUAGGGAUCGUCGCCUAGGUGAGCCGUUACCCCACCUACUAGCUAAUCCCAUCUGGGCACAUCUGAUGGCAAGAGGCCCGAAGGUCCCCCUCUUUGGUCUUGCGACGUUAUGCGGUAUUAGCUACCGUUUCCAGUAGUUAUCCCCCUCCAUCAGGCAGUUUCCCAGACAUUACUCACCCGUCCGCCGCUCGUCACCCGAGA
rnacentral:rRNA from 1 species